rnacentral:misc_RNA from 1 species
GAUGAAGAACGCAGGGAAAUGCGAUAAGUAGUGUGAAUUGCAGAAUUCAGUGAAUCAUCGAAUCUUUGAACGCACAUUGCGCCCUUUGGUAUUCCUUAGGGCAUGCCUGUUCGAGCGUCAUUUAAACCUUCAAGCUAAGCUUGGUGUUGGGUGACUGUCCGCUUCACGGCGGACUCGCCUCAAAAUUAUUGGCGGCCGGUACAUUGGCUUCGAGCGCAGCAGAAACGCGAACUCGGGCCCGUCGUAUUGGCUCCCAGAAGCUAUCUUCACAAUUUUGACCUCGGAUCAGGUAGGGAUACCCGCUGAACUUAAGCAUAUCAAUAAGCGGAGGA